rnacentral:lncRNA from 1 species
UAUGUUUCACAUAAUUGAUUACGAUGGUUGAUUAAUGGCAUCCCUUUCACCAUUUUUUCUUCUCCCAUCGCCUUGAGUGCUCCAAAGUUCAAAUGGCCAAAUCUCGUAUGUCAACACCAUGCUUCAUCUUCCACACUAGCCUUCAAACAUCUUACUUCAAUAGUUUUGGUAUUCAAGAUAAACAUUCUAUUCUUUGACAUAUGCACCUUAGCAAUCAAAUUAGCACUUUGAUCUCUAAGCCAAAGACAAUAAUCUUCCACGUGAAUUUCAU